ensembl:snRNA U6 U6 spliceosomal RNA
UUGCUUGCUUUGGCAGCACAUAUACUAAAAUUGGAACAAUACAGAGGAGAUUAGCAGGCCCCUUUACCAGGAUGGCACGCAAAUUAGUGAAGUGCUCCAUAAAAAU